rnacentral:rRNA from 1 species
AUUGAACGCUGGCGGAAUGCUUUACACAUGCAAGUCGAACGGCAGCACGGACUUCGGUCUGGUGGCGAGUGGCGAACGGGUGAGUAACAUAUCGGAACGUAUCCAAUAAUGGGGGAUAACGAGUCGAAAGAUUCGCUGAUACCGCAUACGCCCUACGGGGGAAAGCUGGGGACCUUCGGGCCUGGCGUUAAUGGAGCGGCCGAUAUCUGAUUAGCUAGUUGGUGAGGUAAAGGCUCACCAAGGCGACGAUCAGUAGCUGGUCUGAGAGGACGACAGACCACACUGGAACUGGAGCACGGUCCAGACUCCUACGGGAGGCAGCAGUGGGGAAUUUUGGACAAUGGGGGCAAGCCUGAUCCAGCCAUUCCGCUGGAGUGAAGAAGGCCUUCGGGUUGUAAAGCUCUUUCGCAAGGGAAGAAAACUUAGCCACUAACAUUGGUUGAGGUUGACGGUACCUUGAUAAGAAGCACCGGCUAACUACGUGCCAGCCGCCCGCCGUAA